rnacentral:rRNA from 1 species
GACGAACGCUGGCGGCGUGCUUAACACAUGCAAGUCGAACGGUGAAGCGCCUUCCUUUUUGGUGGGUGUGGAUGAGUGGCGAACGGGUGAGUAACACGUGAGUAACCUGCCCCCUUCUUCUGGAUAACCGCAUGAAAGUGUGGCUAAUACGGGAUAUUCUGGGUCUGUCGCAUGAUGGGUCUGGGAAAGAUAUUGUUUCGGUGGGGGAUGGGCUCGCGGCCUAUCAGCUUGUUGGUGGGGUGAUGGCCUACCAAGGCGGUGACGGGUAGCCGGCCUGAGAGGGUGGACGAUCACACUAGGACUGAGACACGGCCCAGACUCCGACGGGAGGCAGCAGUGGGGAAUAUUGCACAAUGGGCGCAAGCAUGAUGCAGCGACGCCGCGUGGGGGAUGGAGGCCUUCGGGUUGUGAACCUCUUUCGCCAGUGAAGCAGGCCUGCCUCGUUUGUGGGUGGGUUGACGGUAGCUGGAUAAGAAGCGCCGGCUAACUACGUG